rnacentral:rRNA from 1 species
CUACGGGUUGCUCCAGUGGGGAAUAUUGGACAAUGGGGGAAACCCUGAUCCAGCAAUGCCGCGUGUGUGAAGAAGGCCUGCGGGUUGUAAAGCACUUUCGGUUGGGAGGACUGCUUCUAGCACUAAUAUUGUUGGAAGUUGACGUUACCUUCAGAAGAAGCACCGGCUAACUCCGUGCCAGCAGCCGCGGUAAUACGGAGGGUGCAAGCGUUAAUCGGAAUUACUGGGCGUAAAGCGCGCGUAGGCGGCUAGAUCAGUCGGGUGUGAAAGCCCCGGGCUUAACCUGGGAACUGCAUCCGAUACUGUCUAGCUCGAGUACAGGAGAGGAGAGUGGAAUUCCACAUGUAGCGGUGAAAUGCGUAGAUAUGUGGAGGAACACCAAUGGCGAAGGCAGCUCACUAAGCUGUAACUGACGCUCAGGCACGAAAGCGUGGGGAGCAAACAGGAUUAGAUACCCCCGUAGUC